rnacentral:rRNA from 1 species
CUACGGGUUGCUGCAGUGGGGAAUAUUGGACAAUGGGGGAAACCCUGAUCCAGCAAUGCCGCGUGUGUGAAGAAGGCCUGCGGGUUGUAAAGCACUUUCGGUUGGGAGGACUGCUUCUAGCACUAAUAUUGUUGGAAGUUGACGUUACCUUCAGAAGAAGCACCGGCUAACUCCGUGCCAGCAGCCGCGGUAAUACGGAGGGUGCAAGCGUGAAUCGGAAUUACUGGGCGUAAAGCGCGCGUAGGCGGCUAGAUCAGUCGGGUGUGAAAGCCCCGGGCUUAACCUGGGAACUGCAUCCGAUACUGUCUAGCUUGAGUACAGGAGAGGAGAGUGGAAUUCCACAUGUAGCGGUGAAAUGCGUAGAUAUGUGGAGGAACACCAAUGGCGAAGGCAGCUCUCUGGCCUGAUACUGACGCUGAGGUGCGAGAGCGUGGGGAGCAAACAGGAUUAGAUACCCUAGUAGUC